AGUGAACGCUGGCGGUAGGCCUAACACAUGCAAGUCGAACGGCAGCACAGUAAGAGCUUGCUCUUACGGGUGGCGAGUGGCGGACGGGUGAGGAAUACAUCGGAAUCUACUUUUUCGUGGGGGAUAACGUAGGGAAACUUACGCUAAUACCGCAUACGACCUACGGGUGAAAGCAGGGGAUCUUCGGACCUUGCGCGAUUGAAUGAGCCGAUGUCGGAUUAGCUCGUUGGCGGGGUAAAGGCCCACCAAGGCGACGAUCCGUAGCUGGUCUGAGAGGAUGAUCAGACACACUGGAAGUGAGACAGGGUCCAGACUCCUACGGGAGGCAGCAGUGGGGAAUAUUGGACAAUGGGCGCAAGCCUGAUCCAGCCAUACCGCGUGGGUGAAGAAGGCCUUCGGGUGGUAAAGCCCUUUUGUUGGGAAAGAAAAGCAGCAGGUUAAUACCCCGCUGUUCUGACGGUACCCAAAGAAUAAGCACCGGCUAACUUCGUG
rnacentral:rRNA from 1 species